GGACGACGCUGGCGGCGUGCCUAACACAUGCAAGUCGAGCGGGGACACGGGGCUUCGGUCCCGUGUUUCAGCGGCGGACGGGUGAGUAACGCGUGAGCAAUCUGUCCCAUUCACCGGGAUAACAACUGGAAACAGUUGCUAAUACCGGGCGAGACCACGGUGCCGCAUGGCGCAGGGGUAGAAGGGAUACCGGAGUGGGGUGAGCUCGCGUCCCAUUAGGUAGUUGGUGAGGUAAGGGCCCACCAAGCCGACGAUGGGUAGCCGACCUGAGAGGGUGAUCGGCCACACUGGAACUGAGACACGGUCCAGACUCCUACGGGAGGCAGCAGGUGGGAAUAUUGGGCAAUGGGCGAAAGCCCUGACCCAGCAACGCCGCGUGAGGGAAGAAGGUUUUCGGAUUGUAAACCUCUGUCCUAAGUGACGAAGGAAGUGACGGUAGCUUAGGAGGAAGCCCCGGCUAACUACGUGCCAGCCGCUGC
rnacentral:rRNA from 1 species